GGGCCCGCACAAGCGGUGGAGCAUGUGGUUUAAUUCGAUGAUACGCGAGGAACCUUACCAGGGCUUAAAUGCAGUUGGACAGGUCUGGAAACAGACCCUUCUUCGGACUAAUUGCAAGGUGCUGCAUGGUUGUCGUCAGCUCGUGCCGUGAGGUGUCAGGUUAAGUCCUAUAACGAGCGCAACCCCUGUGGUUAGUUGCCAGCACGUAAUGGUGGGAACUCUAGCCAGACUGCCGGUGCAAACCGCGAGGAAGGUGGGGAUGACGUCAAAUCAUCACGGCCCUUACGUCCUGGGCCACACACGUGCUACAAUGGUAGGGACAGAGGGCAGCUACCCCGCGAGGGGAUGCGAAUCUUCAAACCCUAUCACAGUUCGGAUCGCAGUCUGCAACUCGACUGCGUGAAGCUGGAAUCGCUAGUAAUCG
rnacentral:rRNA from 1 species